AGGGAGAAGGCAUGCCCAGCAGUCUCCAGCUUGGUCGCCUCAUGCUGGCCUGCUCCGCCUUUCCUGCCGGACAUAAUAACCUCUGAUGUGAAAACUGUUCUACCAAGAAAGUGUCACAUACCAUGGGUCCUAGCAUUGUUAUCACAGAGUGCACUGGGUAAAGGCAAAGUACCCUCAAAAAAAGAUAUAAAAAGUCGAAAUGUCACCGGGUACCCUGCCAAUACCAUUGUCGUUGGAGGCCGCCCAGUCUGCAGUCAAGUUUGGGAGGACUUCUUCACCUUCCUGGGCAUCUUCCUGGCCGUCAUCUUGUUCCCAUUUGGGUUCAUCUGCUGUUCUCCCUCCAGGAAGCAAAGAUGCCCCAAGAGUGAAGCAAACUUUGCUUCAAGAGAGCACCACACCUGGCUUUCCUACAUCCUGCCAUCUUUUUCUAAUGUAAAUGUGUACAAUAAAUAGCUUUAUUUGAUUUAA